rnacentral:rRNA from 1 species
UACAGAGGUCUCAAGCGUUGUUCGGAUUCAUUGGGCGGAAAGGGUGCGUAGGCGGCGCGGUAAGGCGGGUGUGAAAUCUCGGAGCUUAACUCCGAAACUGCAUUCGAUACUGCCGUGCUUGAGGACUGGAGAGGAGACUGGAAUUUACGGUGUAGCGGUGAAAUGCGUAGAUAUCGUAAGGAAGACCAGUGGCGAAGGCGGGUCUCUGGACAGUUCCUGACGCUGAGGCACGAAGGUCAGGGGAGCAAACGGG